CCGCGGUAAUACGGAGGGUGCAAGCGUUAAUCGGAAUUACUGGGCGUAAAGCGCACGCAGGCGGUCUGUCAAGUCGGAUGUGAAAUCCCCGGGCUCAACCUGGGAACUGCAUUCGAAACUGGCAGGCUUGAGUCUUGUAGAGGGGGGUAGAAUUCCAGGUGUAGCGGUGAAAUGCGUAGAGAUCUGGAGGAAUACCGGUGGCGAAGGCGGCCCCCUGGACAAAGACUGACGCUCAGGUGCGAAAGCGUGGGGAGCAAACAGGAUUAGAUACCCUGGUAGUCCACGCCGUAAACGAUGUCUACUUGGAGGUUGUGCCCUUGAGGCGUGGCUUCCGGAGCUAACGCGUUAAGUAGACCGCCUGGGGAGUACGGCCGCAAGGUUAAAACUCAAAUGAAUUGACGGGGGCCCGCACAAGCGGUGGAGCAUGUGGUUUAAUUCGAUGCAACGCGAAGAACCUUACCUGGUCUUGACAUCCACAGAACUUUCCAGAGAUGGAUUGGUGCCUUCGGGAACUGUGAGACAGGUGCUGCAUGGCUGUCGUCAGCUCGUGUUGUGAAAUGUUGGGUUAAGUCCCGCAACGAGCGCAACCCUUAUCCUUUGUUGCCAGCGAUUAGG
rnacentral:rRNA from 1 species